UACGAAGGGGGCUAGCGUUGCUCGGAAUCACUGGGCGUAAAGCGCACGUAGGCGGAUUGUUAAGUCAGGGGUGAAAUCCUGGAGCUCAACUCCAGAACUGCCUUCGAUACUGAGAGUCUCGAGUCCGAGAGAGGUGAGUGGAACUGCGAGUGUAGAGGUGAAAUUCGUAGAUAUUCGCAAGAACACCAGUGGCGAAGGCGGCUCACUGGCCCGAUACUGACGCUGAGGCACGAAAGCGUGGGGAGCAAACAGG
rnacentral:rRNA from 1 species